GACAUAAACAGCCAUCUGCUCCCUGCAGUGGGAUGGGGUCAGUGCUGCUCUGUGCCCACCAAGGGGGUGGUGGGUGUUCCCCGAGCACUGUGGCCCCAGGGUGAGGCUGGGUUUGGGUGCUGUUGAUGGCACGGAGCUGCUGAGCUCCAGGGGUUGUUUCAUAGCCUCAGCUCCCUGCUGUGAGAGCUUUGCAGCCCAGCGCACCUCUCUGCCCAGAAAUUAAAAGAAAAAACGCAAAAGAAUCAGGCUCCAGGGAAGUGAUGGCUCCUGGGGUGCAGCCAAUUACCAGAGUUAGGGAGAGAGUUACCUUACCCCGCACUGCUGCUGGUUUUCUCUGACCUCUCGCUCUGGUCCAGGGUGAGCACACGUUAUUCCCCAAGCCUGGCAUGGGAGAGCUGCCGCAGGAAGGAUGUUCAGAGCCUCAGCGUGGAGAAGGCAUGUUGUACCUGCUGCUGAGCAUAUUACUGCUGCUCCAGCAGUGGAUAAGUCCUGCUUACGAGGACACUCGUCCUCUUUUAUUUAAUUUCCUGGUAAUGCUUCUGCAGCGUCCAAGUCUUAUCAGGAGAGGAGCAGCUUAAGAGCCCGGUAAAGGAGUUUUUAUUGUCAGUAUCCAUCUCUUUAUUCCCCUCUUCCCUUUGACGCUGGAUGGCAGGCUGGUUGUGGCUGAAGUGAGGUGUGCUUUCUUUUCCUUUUGUCUGUUAAAGCUGCCGAGAUUUCCCGGCCAACCAAUUCUGAUGGUAAUUGGGCUGCUGUCCCUGGUCCCUGGGCGGUCACCGGCUGUGGCUCAGCCGCGGGUUCCGUGGGGAGGAGUGAGGGUGACCCCGACUCCCAGACUGCACACAGAAGGACUGAUCUGGGCACGCACCAGCCCUGACUGGGCAGCUCUGGUCUGGGACUCGCCAUCCACUUUGCUGUGACUUGGUGAGCAAACCCCUGCCUCUGUUUCCCCAGAGCCAUCGCACUGAGCUUAGCCCCAUCUCUGAGGCAUCCUCGCGUUCAUCUGCUGCGGGGGCUCGUGGAUGGGGGGGGCUGGAAUGGUUGUGGGCAGCAGGGGUGCGAUGAAAUAGGAGUGUCCCCUGGGAAGCCAGCAGCUCGGUGACUGCUGUCUCGUGGCGGCCAGCUCUGUCUCCGCGUUCUCCCUGGCCGUGCCGGGCGUGUGGAGACGCAGUGCUGCAUUCAGCCGCCUUUUCAGCUGCACACAGUGGCCUUGGAUAACGUUUGUUUGAGAAAAUUGGUUGAGUCGUGUGAUUCCUUUUGUUGUAGUUGUUACUGUUGUUCUUUUAAAUGCUCAUGGGAGUAGCAGAGCAGCUAAUGAGGCGGCGCAGAGACAGUCGCUGGGGAGAUGGUCUCGCCUGUGCUUCCCUGCAGCUGCAUUCUCCUGGUGAUGGAGCUGGCUGUGCUCCUGCCGGGAGUGCUGGUGGGUGCGGCAUUCCUGUGCUCAAAGAGGUGCCCAGACCCUUCUGCUCCUCACCAGUUCCCUUCCCCAGGCCUCACUGUUUUCUUCUCCAGCCAUGUGCUGCUGCGUGAGGGAGGGGAAAGCCACGAGCACCCAUCCAGCUGGGCUCUGGGAAUGGGUCACCUGGCUGUGGUGACAUCCCAUCACCACAGAACGCAGCUCACCCAUGGCCAGCGCUGUAUCCCUGACCCUGGGCAGACUCACCUGGUGCUCAGAGCUCUCCUGGCUCCCAUGGCAGACAUGGCAUCCUCCUUUAGAGGAUUUUGGGUGGUUACCUGGGGAUCAGGCUCAGCACAGUGAUGUCCUCAAGCCCCAAGCUGUGUGUGCUGGUGUGGAGCUGCCAGGAGCUCCUGUCCUCUUCCAGCCCCACGUGCUGUCCCUCUUGGCUCUGCAGCAGGUGACAAAAGUGGCACUGGGAGCAGGUGGGGGUGUCAGAAAUGCAGACAGAUAGCAUUAGAUGGAUGAUGCAUCAAAUCCUAAACUGAUAAGAGAUGGAACAAUUAAUGUGUUGUCAAAAGGCCGGGAAGGAUCUCUUUUAAAGAGCCUAAAUAGUCUGGACAGGAACAAGCAAUGAGCAGCACAGAAACAACAGCACGUUCACCACUUUGCUUUUCUGGCUGGGCUGUGUGUGCUGCCAUCUGUGCUGUGCUCCAUGGCCAUCCCGUGGUGCUGGGAUUGCUCCCCCAAAGCAGGCUCACAGCCCUGCCCAGCAGCCUGGAGCCAUGGCUGGCAUUGCUCUGGGAUGCCAAGGGCAGCUUUGACACGACCUUGCCUUGGGCUGGAUCUCCGCAUUUUCUGGUUGCCUCGGCUCCAAGGAGUCCCUGGGCUGAUGGUGGAGAUUUGGUUGUACUAGCACAGCUGAGCCUGCCUUAAUCCCAGUUUUUAGACUGGCUAAACUUGUUUUCACUCAUCUCUGAUGUUGUUCAGCUGUGCUACACAGCACGAAUAAGCCAGCGCUUGAGUUUGCUGUUAAAGCCCUGCAGAACAGCAGAGAGAGCUCUCUGGCUGUGCCAGGGCUGCUGAGGGUCUCCCCUGACCCUCACGGAGGUGCCAUCCCUCAGGGAAUGGCCAGAGCCACACCACCAGUAAUUCAUCCCACACAGAUCUCCCAUCUAAUGAAGUGCAGUGCUGGGGCGGGGAUGGGACAGCGAGGUGCUGGGAGAGGAUGGGGUGAUUUACCCUCGUGUGGCAUCUCCGUGGAUGUCACCCUGCCUGAGCUGCUGGUGCUGUGGCAGGGACAGGCACUGAGCAGCACCACUCUGAACGGGAGGACGGGGCCGUGCCUGUCCCAGGAGAGGACUGGGAGUGCUGGGAGCGCUGCAGGGAGAGUGGGACUGCCCUCCAGGUCCCCAAGGGCUCAGUAUGACGGUCAGGGCUGCGUGGUGGGGUGCAUUACAGCCUGUCCCUGUGAUUCCAGCGCAGCCAUGUGAUGCCGGAGGAGCGCGGUGGCGAUGAUAUGGAAUGUGGGCAGCUGCCUUCGGACACGCUCCGACAGGUGACGGUCCAGCGCCACCCCCUCUACGGAUUCGGCUUUGUGGCUGGCAGCGAGAGGCCAGUGGUGGUGCGGUCAGUGGCAGCAGGCGGCCCCUCUGAGGAUAAACUCCUGCCAGGAGACCAGAUCUUGGCCAUCAACGAUGAGGAUGUGAGUGAAGCCCCCAGAGAGAGAGUCAUCGAGCUUGUCAGGAAGGCCAAGGACUUCAUCAUCCUCACGGUCCUGCACACCCACCAGUCUCCCAAAUCUGCUUUCAUCAGCGCAGCCAAGAAGGCGAAGCUAAGGUCCAACCCGGCCAAAGUCCGAUUUUCAGAGCAGGUGACAGUCGGCGAGACAGACCCAGACAUGUUGAAGAAAGAAGCUCUCCUCCUCAUUCCCAACGUGCUGAAGGUUUUCCUGGAGAACGGGCAGAUCAAAUCCUUCACGUUCGAUGGCCGAACCACUGUGAAGGACGUGAUGGUGACAUUGCAGGACCGCCUGUCCCUGAGACACAUCGAGCACUUUGCCCUGGUCCUGGAGUAUUCCAGCCCGGAGCAGAGCCACCGCUUCCUGCUGCUCCAGGACAAGCAGCCGCUGGCCCACGUUGUGCAAAGAACACACUACCACGGCAUGAGAUGCCUCUUCCGUGUGAGCUUCUUCCCCAAGGACCCAGUGGAGCUGCUGCGCCAGGAUCCUGCAGCUUUCGAGUACCUGUACAUCCAGAGCCGCAACGAUGUGAUCAGAGAGCGCUUCGGCACAGACCCCAAGCCAGAGAUGCUGCUGGGGCUGGCUGCCCUCCACAUCUACAUCACUGUCUCAGCCACCCGCCCCAGCCAGAAGGUCUCCCUCAAGAAUGUGGAGAAGGAGUGGGGCCUGGAGCCCUUCCUGCCGCCCUCGCUCCUGCAGCUCAUCAAAGAGAAGAGCCUCCGGAAAUCCCUCUCGCAGCAGCUCAAAGCCCACCAGCACCAGCCUGGCGGCACCAAGGUCUCCACAGCCCAGGCAAAGCUGCAGUACCUGAGGAUCCUGAACGAGCUGCCGACCUUUGCUGGGGUUCUCUUCAACACAGUGGGACUGGACGAGAAGCAGCCAGCCACCACCCUGCUGGUGGGACCCCGGCACGGCAUCAGCCACGUCAUCGACCUGAAGACCAACCUCACCACGGUGCUGUCAGAGUUCAGCAAGGUCAGCAAGAUCCAGCUGUUCAGGGAGAACCAGGGGGUGGCCCGGGUGGAGACGAGCAUCCUGGAUGCCAAGCCGCUGGUGUUGCUGAUGGAGUGGCCUGAAGCCACCAACUUCGCCUGCCUCAUCGCAGGCUACUGCCGUCUCCUGGUGGACUCCAAGAAGAUGAUCCUGUCCAGGGCCCCCAGCCAGCCACCCCCACCUCAGAUUAUCAAGGCAGAUUACAUCAACGCACACAACUUCCACCGGCCUGCCACGGCAGGGCACAUGGGAAAGAAAGAGAAUGGGCUGGUGGGUGGCUCUGCCACUGUCACCGGAGCAGCCGGCGCUUCGGCCACCAGGGCUUCGGACUCGGAGCUCAUCCGCUUCUGCUACCUGCACAUGCGAGAGCAGAGGAAGGAAAGAGAGAGCGGGACGGAUAUCAAUGAAAACCUGAUUUUUUUUGAGGAAACUCGUCCCAGGACCAAAUCUGACCCCACUUCCAAAAGCUCUGGCCAAGGCUACAACGGGGCAGCCAAGGAGUACGACCCGGAUGGCCUUGAGCAAGACAGGCAGGCGAGCAGGGCCAGGGCACACACCAUCGACACCCACCUGCGCAGCGACACCUCCCACUUCUACUGCGAGUCCUGCCAGGCCAAGAUCAAGAGCCGGCUGGCCUCGGGCACGGCGGGCAAGCCUGGCAGCACCCGCGACAACAUGGUGGACUUGAUGUCACUUCCCCCUCCCGGGAACGACGAGGAAGAAGACGAGACAACGUCCCUGCUCCCCGCCAUUGCCGCCCCCCCUCCUGGCUUCCGAGACAACAGCUCCGACGAGGAUGACCCCAAGCGCCGGGCAGCUGCCCAGAGCCAGGAGCAGGGCCGGCAGCUCUGUGGCAUCCUCUACGACGAGAUCCCGGUCACGCUGAUUGACAACGUGCAGCCACGGACGGUCCGAGACCAUGCCCAAGAGCUGGAUGAUGCCCUGGUGUCCACCCUGCAAGCGCUGGAAGCCCUGGCUGCUUCAGAGGAUUGUCCACAUCCCCCACCACAGCAGACAGCAGGUCUUAUUGUCCUGGCUGCCAUCACUCCUGAGUCAUCCUUGGACUCUGGCCACGAAACGAACUCCUCAGAGCUGACUGAUGUCUCGGAGAUGGUCUCUGCUAUGAAGCAGCAUCAGAACGCAGCCUACUUCCUCACUCAACACAUCAACAAAGAAAACCUCCUGGCCAGGAAGGACUUGCCUUUCCGAAUCCAGAGCUGCGCUGCCCAGGCUGUUCUCACCUCACCCCACCCCCUGAGCCGCCAGGACCCGAGCCCUUCACUGAAGGCAGCCUUCUCUACCCAAAGUCCCAGCCUUACCAACUGCAAGAGCAAACAGGAGCAGCAGCACGGGGAGCGGAGCUGCACCUCAGCUGCCCAGCCGGGGCUGACCCCCCAGCUGAGUGAGCAGAGCAAGGGGGCUUCAGUGCCAAGCUCUGAGUGCAAAGGUGCAGGUCACACAAAAGCUUCCUUUGAGGUAUCUCUGCAUGCCACAGCAGCCCCAAGCAAGGAGCAGACACAGGAUCUGCAAGAGAAGAUGCCCAAAGAGGUGCAGCCGAGCUCCAAGCUCCUCCUGGAUCAGAAAAGCGGUGUAACUCCAGCCAUCGUUUCAGCUGCUCUGCAGCAGGUGGCAAAUGCAAAAGCCUCAGCUCCCCAAGUGGUAUCAGCCUUAAAAGAAGACCAGAACAUGAAUGGUACCAGCAGCUGUGCACCAGCCAGCAGCAAGCCUUUGACACAUAAAGGAGGUCCACAAACUGCAGAGACAUUAUGCAACUGUCAGCAGCAGCAGCAGCAGCAGCUCUCUCCGCAGCAGCACUGUGAAGUUUCUCCAAGUCCUAAAGAAGCUCCUGGCAGUCAGGCUGAAGCGUUCCACCUCACCUCAGCAUGUGAGGAAAUUACGUCCAGUAAGACUUUUGCCUCUAAAAGCUACCAGCAAAAAGUGAGUAGAGAUGCUCCAGGAAAAGCUGCAAGUGGAGAGACAGGUCAGAAGGCAGGUGGGGAAGCCACAAGCCUCGUCUUGCAGAAACACACAGCUCCUUCAAACCAAGGACAGAAAAUACAACAGGAAAGCUCGGCCAAAAUCUUAAAAGCUGAGAGCAGCAAUGUGCACCCUCCAGCACCUGGUAGCACUUUCAGGAGCACCAGUGAGGAAGCCAAAGGGCCAAUCCAGCUGAUGCCCAGAUCCGAGAGCCUGCAGAUUAGCACUGUGCCUUCCAAAAAAGUAGAAAAAGUCCUGGAGGUGACCCAACAAGAUGCUGAUGUCCCAGCUAAACCCAAAGCCCCAAAAGCUCCCUUCAGGCUUAGGAACCUGUUCUCUGCAACAUUUCCCACCCGUCUGAAGAAGGAGACGGACGAGCGGCAGGCCCAGCUGCAGAAGGUGAAGCAGUAUGAGCUGGAAUUCCUUGAAGAGCUGCUCAAGCCAAAGAGCAAAGGUGACCUCCCGCCACAGGAAUAUCUGCACCCCCCUGCCCCUGGGCGCUGCAGCUGCCAGCUGAGGAGCAGUCCCGUGCAAAAAGUCCCAGGGAUGUCCAGGGAGCAAAGGCGCAGCUGUGACUGCAAGCGGAUUUGCAGGGGAAUGAGGCCACCCCCCAACCAGCUGGUGAUGCCAGAACUGGAGAGGCGAGGCAGGGAUAAAGUUGCAGAUGACCAGAAGCAGGUAGAAGCCAUUAGGCUGACAAGCAUGAGCAGCCCUUCCAAAGGCAAACGGAUACGAUCCACAAGUUUAGAGUCCAGAGACUACCGGUCAGAUCCAGAGAACGGCAUGUCCUGUUUGGCAACGUGCACCUCCCGAGGGGAGUGCAUGGGUGCACCCCACUACAGGAAGCUCUUGCGUCGCUACAGUGUCAGUGAAAUAGAUAAGACUGAUAGGACAUCCUUGUCCUCUGACAUCUACCAGAACAUCUACACAACCAAGCAGAAAGGUCCCCAGAAAGAGCCUGAGCCCAGCAUCCUCUGUCCUGUUCUGAAGAGCAAAAUCCAGGAAGCCGCUGGAGUGGCUGACCCCUCCUAUGUCCAGAUAGCACAGGACAAAAAGAACCACAAGGGUCCAGCAGUGUUCUCUGUCCAGGAGGAGAUGUACCCAAGUCCUGCUGAGCUGCGGGAUGAAGACAUGGAGGAUGAGAAGUGCUGCUCCAUCCGGUACUGCUUCUACUACAGAAAAUGCGAUGUUGCAGAUGAUGGGAGUGAGAAGGAUGAGCUGUCCUAUUCCAUCCCCAUGCAGAUACUCCCGGGAAUGAAGCUGGACAAUCAGAUGGUCCCAGUCAUGAGCAGGACUCUUCAGGUCCUAGACGCAACAGCCUGCAGCAGUCCCAAUGAAAGCCAGACCCAGGAAAUAGAUUUAAGGACCUCCAGUUUUGAGGGGAGCUUGGCAAAGAUCAACACCCUUCGAGGCCAUGCCUACAGCUUCCCCAAUGGGUUUCUGCAAGUGCAGCUGGACACCAACGAGCUCCUGACCAUCCUGAGGCAGUGUGUGCUGAGCCCUGAAGUCCGGGACUGCAAACCCUACAUCUCCCAGCUGGCUGAGUACAAGCAGGAGCUGGCCCUCAAGUUCAAGGAGUUCCGGGCGUCCUGCCGCCGCGUGGCCGCCGUCGACAAGAGUCCCACCCACAUGCUCUCUGCCAUCACGAGCAGCUUCCAGGUGCUAAGCAGCCUCAUCGAGACCUUUGUGAGGCUGGUGUACGUCGUGCGCUCGGAGUCCCAGCGCCAAGAGCUGCUGACGAAGGUGGAGGAGGUGGUGAGAAACUACACCUUCCUCCUGAAGGCUGCUGAGGAGUCCACGGCCAGGAUGCUGAGCCACCAGCAGACUGUGGAGCAGCUCGCCCGCCAGUCAGCCACGGUCGCCACUGUCAUGAGCACUCUCACACGCUCCCUAAAGACGUUGAUCAAUAAGUAAAGCCAGCUGUGAAGACCAACAAGCCAGUGUGUGCCCUGCCAUGCUCUCAAAUCUCACAGGAGCUAUGGAAAUGCACAAAUGUGCUUUUAACGUGCGCAUCCUUGGAGUGCAAUAACCUCCCCUGGCCCAUGGCAGUCCUGGACUGGGGCCAUGGCUGUCAGCAAGGCACAGAGGAUCCUGCUGUGGGAUUUCAAGAACCAUGUAGCAAAUAUCCAAUGGAAGAGCCAAUUGGAACUUCAGUCCAUGGUGGGCAAGGCCUGUUACAGUGCUGAAGGCUGACAGGGAGACGUGUUUUCCUUUUCCCUAAGAAUUACCUACUACGAAACUCUGAGUUUCUUCAAAGCUCCCCGUUAUGCCUAUAUCAUUCCUCCAUAAAUCUCUCAGUCUAAUACAGAGGAAAAUUUUUUUAUUGUCUGUAUAUAGUAUAUAUAAAUAAAAAAUAUAUAAAUUAUAUCUAUACGCAAAUUUAUGUCUUGUUUUACAAACAAGAAAGAUUAAAUAUAUUAAUCUUAAUAUCCAAACUA